rnacentral:miRNA from 1 species
UGCUGUCUUGACUUGGCUCUGA